AGCUCCAAUAGCGUAUAUUAAAGUUGUUGCAGUUAAAAAGCUCGUAGUUGAAUUUCUGUCGAAUCUGGCUGGCGUGCAUACAGCACUGCUUGGUCUGGUUUGAUAUCCUUCAGGUUGUUCAAACCGCUUAGUUGCGGAUUGUAUUUUCCUGGACAUUUACUUUGAGAAAAUUAGAGUGUUUCAAGCAGGCAUUUGCCUUGAAUACUACAGCAUGGAAUAAUAAGAUAGGACUUUGGUUCUUUCUUGUUGGUUCGGAGAACUGAGGUAAUGAUUAACAGGGACAGUCGGGGGCAUUCGUAUUUAACUGUCAGAGGUGAAAUUCUUAGAUUUGUUAAAGACGAACUACUGCGAAAGCAUUUGCCAAGGAUGUUCCCA
rnacentral:rRNA from 1 species